AUUGAACGCUGGCGGAAUGCUUUACACAUGCAAGUCGAACGGCAGCACGGACUUCGGUCUGGUGGCGAGUGGCGAACGGGUGAGUAAUGUAUCGGAACGUGCCCAGUCGUGGGGGAUAACGUAGUGAAAAUUACGCUAAUACCGCAUACGAUCUCUGGAUGAAAGCGGGGGAUCGCAAGACCUCGCGCGAUUGGAGCGGCCGAUAUCAGAUUAGGUAGUUGGUGGGGUAAAGGCCCACCAAGCCAACGAUCUGUAGCUGGUCUGAGAGGACGACCAGCCACACUGGAACUGAGACACGGUCCAGACUCCUACGGGAGGCAGCAGUGGGGAAUUUUGGACAAUGGGCGAAAGCCUGAUCCAGCCACUCCGCGUGCAGGAUGAAGGCCCUCGGGUUGUAAACUGCUUUUGUACAGAACGAAAAGGUUUCUACUAAUACUAGGAGCUCAUGACGGUACUGUAAGAAUAAGCACCGGCUAACUACGUGCCAGCCGCCGCGGUAA
rnacentral:rRNA from 1 species